rnacentral:lncRNA from 1 species
UCUCUCUCUCUCUCUCUCUCUCACUUCACCCUCUCGCUCGCUUCACUCUCUCUCGCUCGCUUCACUCUCUCUCUCUCGCUUCACUUUCUCUCUCGCUCUCUCGCUCUCUCAUACUUUCCUGUAGAACUAAUACUUUAAAUUGGGUCAUAGUGGUAAUUUUGUGUCUUUAAGAUAUUUUGUAAGGAGAAUCUGGUAGGGCAUAAAUUUUCUUAGUUGUUACCUUAGAAUAUCAUCUUUAAUUCCUCAGCAUAGCAUUACAAAGUAAAAUAAUCUUCUUUUUAUACUUGAAAUACGUCAUUCAUUUUCUCAUCUUGAAUUGUGCUCAGAAAUAUGCUGUUACCCUGAUAUUUGAUAGUAAAUGUGGUUUACUAUUUUUUAUCACUUGUGUUUCUCAGAGAGCCUGGCAAGAGCUUUAUGCUAUUAAUUCUUGAUUUAUUUAACGUUUGUUUGUUCAUUUGUUUGUUUGUUUGUGCUUAUGGUUUCCCAACAAUCUUUAAUGCUCUUACCAGUCUCUAUUGUUUUUACUACAUUUCUGUGACAGUCAAAUUUCAAAACAACAGGGCUCAGUCUCUGACAUUUCUUUGUUCCACAUCAUGUAGUUCACUGUGGAAGCUGCCAAUCAAAAUUUGUACCAGACUUAUUGACCUCUUCAUCUUGCGAUUUGAGAUUGAUUCUUUCCCAGAGUCUCCCAGAGCCAUUUUAAAUUAAGAGAACUAGUUCUUCCUAAUGGUCACCCUAACUAUAAGCUCCUGGAAGUAUGCAAAGCGCAUUGCUUUUCCUAAGCCUGGUGCCUGCAGGUUUCAGAUUCAUGCCUUUUGGGAUGCAAACUAGAAAUAGUUGUUAAAACUGGUCCCUUUUCGAGUAUUGCCACUAUCUGCGCCUACCAUUUGCUGGUAAUCUCUCUUAGGGCCCUACCUCUGGGCCGGGGAGAUUCUGCAUAGCUGUGCAGUCUGGGCAUCAAGUCCCACAAUAGUUUUUUUUCCUUGCUGUCCUACAGUCACAGUUCUCUGCAUAAAAGUGAGACUGACUUUCUACUGCUCGAUGCCAGUAUUUUCCAGGGGUCACAUAUGUUAGUAUGGAGCCCUGCACUGUUGUUUUGUUUGUUUUUGUGGAACAUCACGUAAGUGCUCGAUGCUUCUAGUCAGCAAUUUUUACAGCUCUCAGAGAAUCUUUUAUUUCUUAAAAUAUAGGCAGGUUGUUAUAUAAAUUUUAUCUCAAUAAAUUACAUAGGUUAUCACCUAUGCCUCUUGUUGGUUCUUUUAAAAUAAUGGUAAAAUUAAAAGACAGUAAGUCCACAAACAGACAUGGCUACUGUGUGCGUCUUGGGUAAUAGUACAUUUGGAUUCUAAAGUGGCUUGGCCCUCUAUCUGAGAACCACAGCACCAUUUCCUGGUUUCUAGGCUGUCACUGCUGACUUUGCCACCUGUAGUUAUUUCAGCACCUGGACAGUGACCAGGGCUUUGCACAUUGUCAUUUGAGUUUCCAGGAGCCAUGGGAAUUGAGCUGAGCUCAGUAAUUCACAUGUAAACAAACAAUUUAUGUGCAAUCUGCCGUAAUAAAAAUAAGCAAAUAUUUGUAUGGUGUUUUGACAUUUAACUUUCUGUCCAUUUUUAUUAGAGAGAUAUUUUCUUAUUGUUGGGGAAUAUAAGAUUUCACAACCAAAGCCAGGCAUGGUGGUGCACUCCUUUAAUCCCAGCACUCAGGAGGCAGAGGCAGGCAGAUUUCUGAGUUCGAGGCCAGCCUGGUCUACAAAGUGAGUUCCAGGACAGCCAGGGCUAUACAGAGAAACCCUGUCUCGAAAACAAACAAACAAACAAACAACAAAAAAAUCACAACCAAUAUAUCAAUUCUUUCUGUAAUGAUGGUAACAUUUAGAAAGUGAAGAUGCUUUUAACUGUAGAUAACAUCAGGUGAAUUAAAUAUUGACCCUUACACAAGUACAGUCCAAGGUCAGUCCUUUCAAAUAAAAGCAGUAAGUGACAAGGAAUAGGGAUACAAUAGAUGGAGUGGUCAAUGAACUAUUUUGUAUGUUUGUAUAUACAACAAAUCCUCGUUUUAUUCUUCAAAAGCAAUUGCAUUCUGAUUCCAGACUCUAAUCCAUCCAUGGCUUUAUUCUAGCGUACAAGGGCAUAGGAAAUCAAUGGGGCACCUGGGCAUUUCUAUGAAUACCCACUUCACUGACUACCAUGAAUGAGCUGUUCUCUCUGCUGCUUCCUUUUUUCGUGUUGGAAGGAACCGUGUACCGGGUGAUUCACAUAUACUGCAGACCUCCCAGCAUUCCCCUGGCCUCCUAGCUUCUGCUCAUGAUACAGUGGAUUCCUCCUCAGUCCCGCAUGAUCAUCUGCCUCAUUCUUACAUUUCAGGAAUCUACUCUUGGACCCUAGCAUAUAGUUUAUCUCUAAAUUUGUUCCUCCUCCCAUCUUCCCCCCGAGUCCAAGCCCAUUUGUCUAUUCUAGCAGUUUUCCUCGAUGAGUUUAAGUUUCAUAAAAGUCAUAUGAUACUAAGAAUAACCCCAUGAUGGUUACCCUUGGUUUAUGGAUGACAACUUAAGGUCAAGAAGGUUUGAAUAUAAUACCCGAGGUCACAGGGCUACUCAGUGGCAGUGCCAAACAGUCUGGCAUUUGAUUGUUCGAGUUACCUUGUUGAACACAGAGAAAUCAGACGAUACAAAAACAGGAAAUUUAGAUGAAAGGUCAUAGUCACUACUUUGCAGUUUUUGCUGGUAUGUGACCAAGAAGUUCCAGUCGACCUGUGUGUCUCGAGGGGCAAAGGUCACAUUUAACGAACUGGCAGUGCAGUAGCAGUACAGCGUUGUGGGCAGUUGGGUUUCUGCUACACAGUACUUUUCUGGGUCUUAUUUCUGUUAUCUCUACCCAAGCUGAAAAUGCGCUAAGAUCCAUGUAUCCUCCACCAACCUGCAAGAAAGUAAAUCACUCUUCGAAGUAAGUGAAAUGAAUUGUUCUUCAGCCAGUCCAUUUCAUUUGCCAUCUCUGGUCAGCACCAUUUGUUCACAGGGAGAAUUCAGUGGGAUCAGCAGUUUUCUGGAGACUCUCAUCAUGCUCGGUGAUUAUAAAGGCAGAAAGGCACUGUGCUCAGAGGAUUUCAGUUGUGAAGGAUUGAGGGGUUGGGACAAUGUUCUUCUUUGCAUGGUUUCUAAUGUAGAGAUCAAGAGAUGAGCAGAAUAUCUAACUAGCUGAAAGUAGAUGACAUCCCGAUUUAAAUACACUCGGGGGCUUCUGCUAGGGCUGCCUACCAUU